AUUUAACUGAAGAGUUUGAUCCUGGCUCAGAUUGAACGCUGGCGGUAUGCUUAACACAUGCAAGUCG
rnacentral:rRNA from 1 species